AGGGCAUCUCGAUAUAUCACCUGUAAAGUGCAAGCAAUGUUCAAAAGCAUAUUGGAGAUGAAAUCAGUUGUUCAGUAAAUCACAAAUUAGAAAUAUCUUGCAGAGCAUGUAUGUUAUACAGCAAAUCAUAAAAAAGAAAAAUAACUCCUAGGGUCAUUUGCAUCAUGCUAUCUGAAGGAGUUCUGCUAACAUGGUAUCUAAGAGAAAAUCAAAUAAUGAUGGAAGUGUUGUAGGAAAUGCUGAGUUAAUGCCUACCUCAACGUUCAGUGUGGUGGCGAAAUGCUAUUGGCACAUUUUUUAACACUGGCUUUCUCAUUAAAUCUACCAAGGAAUGCAAAGCUUGUCCCACUUGUUUAGCAAUUGCAAUCAUUAUUAAGAAGCAUGGGAAACGCAACUCUCUCUUUCUUUCUUCUUCAUGAAGAGCAAAUGAAUUCAAAUUGGUCCCUUGUAGAAUAUGGCACCAAUAAUAGACAUCAUGCAUGAAUACGAUUUUUGACCCCUAAAGUUCUACUCAUUCUCAUGCUUUUGUUAUUCUAUAAGGUAUUCACUUGAUUCACACAUACAAAACAGGAGCAGUCCUCUGUCUGGGUGAAAAAAUCAAAACAGACUUGCAAGAAGACAGACCUGGGAUAAUCCUUUUAGGUG
rnacentral:misc_RNA from 1 species